AUGAAGGAUAAACAAUCUGAUAUUGAUGCCAAUGAUCUAUUUGUUGAGUUGAAGUUUCUUCAAAAUUUGAUGCCAAAAGAAAAUAUCGGACCUAUUGAAAUUCUGAAUUUUUUAAAGUGUCAUGAUUGUUUUCCUAAUGCAAGUAUUGCAUAUGGAGUUAUGUUGACCAUUCCUGUGACAGUUGCAUCGGUAGAAAGAAGUUUUUCUGUAUUGAAGCUACUGAAGUCUUAUAUGCGUUGGCCACAAUAG
rnacentral:rRNA from 1 species